GCCUCCCUCUUUCUUCGUGCUUAACACAUGCAAGUCGAACGGAAAGGCCUUUUCGGCGGUACUCGAGUGGCGAACGGGUGAGUAACACGUGGGUGAUCUGCCCUGCACUCUGGGAUAAGCCUGGGAAACUGGGUCUAAUACCGGAUAGGACCGCACUUUAGUGUGUGUGGUGGCAAGUUUUUUCGGUGUAGGAUGAGCCCGCGGCCUAUCAGCUUGUUGGUGGGGUAAUGGCCUACCAAGGCGGCGACGGGUAGCCGGACUGAGAGGUUGGUCGGCCACAUUGGGACUGAGAGACGGCCCAGACUCCUACGGGAGGCAGCAGUGGGGAAUAUUGCACAAUGGGCGCAAGCCUGAUGCAGCGACGCCGCGUGGGGGAUGACGGCCUUCGGGUUGUAAACUCCUUGCGCCAGGGACGAAGCGUUUUGUGACGGUACCUGGAGAAGAAGCACCGGCUAACUACGUG
rnacentral:rRNA from 1 species